CUCGACUAAGAAUAUUUGACUUAGACAAAUUCAUGAUGAAGAAAGGAACCAUUCUCCUAAUGAUGGUAGCUAUAUUGGCUGUCUUCAGCCACACCUAUGGAAGGAAUAUUGACGAUCGUCCAAACUAUUGUCUUAGGGGAGUGAUGUUGCCAGGACUGUGUGGUGAUGGGAGAGCAUGUGCCGAUGCAGUCAGUGAGAAAUAUGCAGGUGUUGAGAUUAGAGAUUGUUCUUGUCAUGAUACUCCAAUUAAGCUUGGCUUUUGCUCAUGUAAUAUUAUUUGCUAGUUAAGAGAUCAAAAGAAACUCUUUUUU